UACAGAGGGGGCAAGCGUUGUUCGGAAUUACUGGGCGUAAAGGGUCUGUAGGUGGCCAACUAAGUCAGACGUGAAAUCCCUCAGCUUAACUGGGGAACUGCGUCUGAUACUGGAUGGCUUGAGUGUGGGAGAGGAAUGCGGAAUUCCAGGUGUAGCGGUGAAAUGCGUAGAUAUCUGGAGGAACACCGGUGGCGAAGGCGGCAUUCUGGACCAUAACUGACACUGAGAGACGAAAGCCAGGGGAGCAAACGGG
rnacentral:rRNA from 1 species